rnacentral:rRNA from 1 species
CAGUCGCCACGGUAAUACAGAGGGUGCGAGCGUUAAUCGGAUUUACUGGGCGUAAAGCGUGCGUAGGCGGCUUCUUAAGUCGGAUGUGAAAUCCCUGAGCUUAACUUAGGAAUUGCAUUCGAUACUGGGAAGCUAGAGUAUGGGAGAGGAUGGUAGAAUUCCAGGUGUAGCGGUGAAAUGCGUAGAGAUCUGGAGGAAUACCGAUGGCGAAGGCAGCCAUCUGGCCUAAUACUGACGCUGAGGUACGAAAGCAUGGGGAGCAAACAGGAUUGGAUACCCCCGUAGUCCCUGUCUCUUAUAC